rnacentral:tRNA from 1 species
AGAGAUUUAGGCUAAAAAGACCAAGGGCCUUCAAAGCCCUAAGCAAGUGAAAUUCACUUAGUCUCUG